GCUGGAAGUACUGAGGAACUCCUGAGUGCCCAUGCCAGCAAUCUGCAACUUUGACUUCCCCUCCCCAGGUGGAACAAGCCCCAGCUGCUGUGCAUCUGCUCCCAGUGCUCUCAGUGGGGCCCAGAAACCAUGGAGCCAAGUGACCAUGAACUAAACCUCUGGAACUGAAAGCCAAAGCACAAAGAGAAUUUGGAAUAAUACUGUGUCACAGAGAUAUAACUUAUGAUCUGGAGUGAUGGCCUAUUCAAGGUUUUUUUCUCUGCUCAGGACUUUGCACAGCUUUUUUAGGUUUCUUGCUAUGUGUGAUUUAAAGUCAAUGAAAGUUCUCCAACAGUUUAGAUAUGGUUUGUGUCAAUAAGAGGGC
ensembl:lncRNA